ACAAAAUAAUAUUGCACCAACCUUAUUAGAUAGCAACACUCUGCUAGCUAGCCUGUUGCUUUUCUUUCUCCACUCCCAGUGCUCCAAACCAGCCUUGCCCUGACUGCUUUCCUUUCUGCACUCCCAGUGCUCCAAGCCAGCCUUGCCCUGACUGCUUUCCUUUCUGCACUCCCAGUGCUCCAAGCCAGCCUUGACUGUUUCCUCCUGCACUCCCAGUGCUC